rnacentral:rRNA from 1 species
UUGGGAAUCUUCGGCAAUGGACGAAAGUCUGACCGAGCAACGCCGCGUGAGUGAAGAAGGUUUUCGGAUCGUAAAACUCUGUUGUUAGAGAAGAACAAGGACGUUAGUAACUGAACGUCCCCUGACGGUAUCUAACCAGAAAGCCACGGCUAACUACGUGCCAGCAGCCGCGGUAAUACGUAGGUGGCAAGCGUUGUCCGGAUUUAUUGGGCGUAAAGCGAGCGCAGGCGGUUUCUUAAGUCUGAUGUGAAAGCCCCCGGCUCAACCGGGGAGGGUCAUUGGAAACUGGGAGACUUGAGUGCAGAAGAGGAGAGUGGAAUUCCAUGUGUAGCGGUGAAAUGCGUAGAUAUAUGGAGGAACACCAGUGGCGAAGGCGGCUCUCUGGUCUGUAACUGACGCUGAGGCUCGAAAGCGUGGGGAGCAAACAGG